GUCAGUCGCACGAGUUACGAGCUCUAAAACGCACCAAAGUGGUAUGUAAAAAGGUAAAAGGACCAGAAAUCAACGAAACACCGUCGGCGAGUUGGCAACUCUGUUCGAUGUCCGUAAGGAUUUAAAAUCACCCAUUUUGAAUAUUUAGUGAUUAUCUAUGGACGUGUCCCAUUAACCAGUACAAAAACGUGCAAAUAAAAAGCAGAGAAGUCAAGGCUGAAAUUAUGGAGAAACUGAAAUUUGAAACAAAAAACAUUUGAGAGAUUACAAUGGACAAUAUGAUACUCCUCUUACAUACAAACUAGCCAGGGAGUACGAAUUUAGAUUCAUUAUAUAGAAAGGAAUUAAUUACCCAAACCAAAAGAAGAUAAUGAUAUUAUUUAAAGUUCUCGAAAUGAAUGUAAAUUAAAUAUUAACUGCAAUUAUAUUGAUAUACAUAUGUAUAUGUACAUAUACCCGUCUGAUAGACGCAUAAAGGGUAUCAAAAACCCAAACAGAUUGAUCAAAACAAAUAUCAAAUUGGAACCUAAACAAAUCUAAUCAGCAACUGAGCGAUUAGCAACCUCGCCACAAUUCUCUGAUUGGAAGAAACAAGAGCUCAACGCACGAGAGAGCAAAGCCAAGAGAACCAUAAGAAAACAGGUUGAAGCCAUUGAUAUACCUUGCCCUUGGUGCCGGCCACAUGGAUGAAGGACAGUUGCUCUACAGUUUCCAGCGGCAGACCACUCCGCUCCAGAUAUUUAAUGGUAUCCGCUUUGGUAUCCACACGGGAAUUACUCAUUGAAUUCCUUAUGGCAGCAUCGUUCGAUUGCAGGGAAUUUAACUGCUUAAUGGCCAACUGAAAACGGUAGGAAAUUAAUUAAUUAAUAACAAACGAAUUUGGUAUUUAGCUGGGUCAGCAUGACAUAUAGAAACAUUUCACACUGAAGAUGAAACAUUUGCUACUGUAAUACCAAAUUUCAUAUUAAUCACACACAUAAUUCUGAAAACACAUGAAUGGUUUUUAUUAUUUAGAUUUAGAAUAAUCUCAUUUUUGAAAUCGAAAAGAUAAUGCUACGAUUGUGAAAUCAAAGGUAUGAUAUUAAUAAGUAAUAGGUAAUAAAACUAUGACAAAGUAAUUAAAAAUUGUAUCUGUUGGUUUCCAACUUGGGACUUGGGAAUUGUUUUAGAUUUACCUCAAAGGCUGCAUUUGUAUCCUUGUUAUUGUUAUCGCUGCUGCAUUGGAUAUUGCCCGAGACAUGAUUUCCAUUAAUACUCUGCUGUGGUGGAUUAAGUACGCGUUCCGCCAGGCUAACACCCGAUCGGAAUGCCGCCAGGUGCUGGAUGCGCUGCAUUUUCACUGUACUGAGGUUGGUCACCGUACUGUAGGUGCUCAUUCUACUACAGUGGGAGCUCUCUCUACUGACGACCAGUGAUCUGGGCUUGCGACUCUGUCGAACUAAGUAGCGCAACAGACAAGCAGCCAUAUCAAUAGAGCCGGAAUCGUAGACCUCCGACGAACGGCUCUUCGGCUCACUCGUAGUUUUCACUCACAGGUGAUUGAGCGGUGGUAUCUAAUGACAAAAAAAAAACUGGUAAAUAAACAAAAUCUAAUCGGCACGGAAACAGCGUUAAAAUUGGGGUAGAUCAUAUGCGACAGGCGCGCGUGUGCGUGGCUUGUAAAUUGUAGGCUAGAGCAAUUGACCGAUAAGACUUUUUAUACGCACAACACAUCUAAUUAUAAUAACUGAUAACAUCUAGUUACAAAAUGUGCGUAUUCAAAUAUUGCGCCACAAAAUGUAUAACGGGGAGUUGCUAUCGUUUGCGAUAAAUAGAUAUACAAGCUCGAUAACAAAAACAU
ensembl:ncRNA asRNA:CR45621 antisense RNA:CR45621